rnacentral:misc_RNA from 1 species
CUGAGUGAGGGCCUUCGGGCUCGACCUCCAACCCUUUGUGAACACAACUUGUUGCUUCGGGGGCGACCCUGCCGUUUCGACGGCGAGCGCCCCCGGAGGCCUUCAAACACUGCAUCUUUGCGUCGGAGUUUAAUCAAAUUAAACA